AGUGGCGAACGGGUGAGUAAUAUAUCAUAACAUGCCCCGUCGUGGGGGAUAACGUAGCGAAGGCUACUCUAAUACCGCCUACGAUCUAUGGAUGAAAGCGGGGGACCGUAAGGCCUCCCGCGAUUGGAGCGGCCGAUAUCAUAUUAUGUAGUUGGUGGGGUAAAAGCCCACCACGCCUGCGAUCUGCUGCUGGUCUGAGAAGACGACCACUCACCCUGCUACUGAUACACGACCCACACUCCUACUGCAGGCAGCAGUGGUGAAUUUUGGACAAUGAGCGCAAGUCUGAUCCUCCCAUUCCUCGUGCAGGACGAAGGACUUCGGCUUGUAAACUGCUUUUGUACGGAACGAAGAAGCUCUUAUUAAUACUACGAGUCCAUGACGAUACCGCAAGAAUAAUCACCGGCUAACUACUUGCCACCAGCCGCGGUAAUACGUAGGGUGCAGGCGUUAAUCGUAAUUACUGCUCGUAAAGCGUGCUCCGCCGGUUAUAUUAUACAAAUGAGAAAUCCCCCACCUUAUCUUGUUAACUGCAUUUGUGACUGUUUAACUAGAGUACGACAGAGGAGGAUGGAAUUCCUCGUGUAGCAGCGAAAUGCGGAGAUAUGCUGAGGAACACCGAUGGCGAAGGCAGUCCCCUGGUCCUGUACUGACGCUCAUGCACCAAAGCGUGGUGAGCAGACAGGAUGAUAUACCCUGCUGGUCCACGCCCUACACGAUGACAACUGCUUGUUGUGGCUUCACUGACUCCUUAACGAAGCUAACGCGUGAAGUUGACCACCUGCUGAGUACUGCCG
rnacentral:rRNA from 1 species